rnacentral:rRNA from 1 species
AUUGAACGCUGGCGGAAUGCUUUACACAUGCAAGUCGAACGGCAGCACGGGGCAACCUGGUGGCGAGUGGCGAACGGGUGAGUAAUACAUCGGAACGUGCCCAAUCGUGGGGGAUAACGUAGCGAAAGUUACGCUAAUACCGCAUACGAUCUACGGAUGAAAGCGGGGGAUCGCAAGACCUCGCGCGAAUGGAGCGGCCGAUGUCAGAUUAGGUAGUUGGUGGGGUAAAGGCUCACCAAGCCGACGAUCUGUAGCUGGUCUGAGAGGACGACCAGCCACACUGGGACUGAGACACGGCCCAGACUCCUACGGGAGGCAGCAGUGGGGAAUUUUGGACAAUGGGCGCAAGCCUGAUCCAGCCAUUCCGCGUGCAGGAUGAAGGCCUUCGGGUUGUAAACUGCUUUUGUACGGAAAGAAAUCCUGUCGGCUAAUACCCGGCUGGGAUGACGGUACCCAAAGAAUAAGCACCGGCUAACUUCGUGCCAGCCGCCGCCGUAACAC